rnacentral:sRNA from 1 species
GAGUCUCUGUCGGGAGCCUAACGCGAGCUCGAAAAACCGGUGAAUUGCGUCUUCACAAGGAUGAGAAACCGGAACCAGAAUGACCAUUCAAAGAGUGACUGUCUACUUAAAUGAACCUGUGCCUUUCUGUUGCCUUGGGGGCACAAGUGUCCAUAUGUGCGCCCCCCCCGGGGGGGGAUGACCUCACCAAUUAGAUAGAAGGAAGGGUUGUCUCUGCCUAAAAAUGGCCAAGGCUCGGCAUUUCCUAGAAGUUGUUUCCACACCUUGUGGUAGUUUUUAGUCAACCAUGGCCCUCUUGGAGGGAGUAACUAGGCAUCCGGGCAACUGGCUAAACCUCCAGUGAAUUUAAUUGAUAGAAAUGUUUUUUAUGUCAUUGCGUACUUCCCUUUCUGGUUUAGGUUCGCACGUGUAGGAUUGUACAGACUGUCCUAUGGGGAUUAACAUGAUCCACAAUAGCAACAACAACAAUAAUAACCACACCAACAAUAAUAAGCAUUUCUGGCGUUUCGUGUGGGUAUUUUUUAUGACAAUAAUCAUUAAACCCAAUGGCAGCAAAAUAGAACCCCGAGGGAGGUGCGAGGCUGGCAGGUCAGAGAUGAUGUCCAAACACUGACGUUUAAGUGAACCUCUCCUGCGAUUACCACAGGUUAGACUUCAUUGUGGGGGAGUGCACUUGUCUCUGAGCCACAGAAAGGUUGGGAUCCAGAAAAAGAGCGUCAACACUGAGAUUUCUUUUCCUUGGGUUUAUUUUUCCUUUGCAGUAAGGAGUCCCUUUUUACAUUUACAAAACCUAGGCAUUGUGCCCAGAAGGCAAUAGAAAUGGAUUGGUUUCCUAGCAUGCUGACCGAGUAAAUGGAAAUUUGAACCAACACCCCCCCCCCCCACGCCAGACAACCACAGAUGUAAUUCAGAAGUUUAGUGUCUGAUCCAUGGGUGACAGAGAGGGUCAAGAGUCUAUGUGAACCUGGGUGAACAAUCCGCCUACCUCCUACUUUAUAAUUCAAAUAUUUGUACAUUAGGAAGAUAGGUAUAAGACCUGAGAUAAACGGAAAUUGUAGGGUUUUUGAACUGUGUACAUGGGUGAAGUUUUAAGAGCCCCAAAGCCCUCAGCCCUGGGCAUACUGUUGCAGGAUGAUUGCUUCAGAUUCUCCAUGGCCUCCGUGCCACAGGCUGUUUGAUGGAGCUUGGAACAUGUGGUCCUAUUGUGCUUUCAGUGGCCUAUUCUGUCAUGCCAUUUACAGAAAAAUAAAGUGGGGUGUGUUGAAGCACUCCCUUAAUUCUGGCUUUCGGGAGCCAGAGUCAGGAGUAUCAGGAGUUCAAGAUUGACUUCUUCCAUAUAGGGACCUCAGGUCAAUCUGUGCUACAUUAGACCCUGACUUCAAAACAAGCAAAAUACAAACGAGUAAGAGUGUGUUUAUGAAUGAGCUUGGUGUAGUUUUUCUGUGCUGCUCACUGACUUUUAAAACUCCAGAUUAUGGGGUUGGAGAGAGUACUGGCUCUUCUAGGGAAUAGGGGUGGGUUUCAAUUCCCAGCACUUGCAUGGCAGCUUACAACUGUCUUGUCAUUCUUGUCCCAGGGGACCCAAUGCCCUCCUCUGGCUUCUAUGGGCCCUGCAUACACAGGAUGCAUGAUAUGCAUGCAAGUAAAAAUGGACAUAAAAUAAAAAUGUAAAAAGA